UACAGAGGUGGCAAGCGUUGUUCGGAAUUACUGGGCGUAAAGAGCGCGCAGGCGGUCGUCAAGUCGAGUGUGAAAGCCCCCGGCUCAACUGGGGAGGGUCACUCGAUACUGAUCGACUUGAAGGCAGGAGAGGGAAGCGGAAUUCCCGGUGUAGUGGUGAAAUGCGUAGAUAUCGGGAGGAACACCAGUGGCGAAGGCGG
rnacentral:rRNA from 1 species